UACAGAGGGGGCAAGCGUUAUUCGGAAUUAUUGGGCGUAAAGGGCGCGUAGGCGGUGAUGUAAGUGAGAUGUGUAAUCCCCGAGCUUAACUUGGGAACUGCAUCUCAGACUGUGUCGCUAGAGUACUGGAGAGGGUGGUGGAAUUCCACGUGUAGCGGUGAAAUGCGUAGAGAUGUGGAGGAACACCAGUGGCGAAGGCGGCCACCUGGACAGUAACUGACGCUGAGGCGCGAAAGUGUGGGGAGCAAACAGG
rnacentral:rRNA from 1 species